CCAAUAGCGUAUAUUAAAGUUGUUGCAGUUAAAAAGCUCGUAGUUGAAUUUCGGGAUCAGUACGUCGGUCGUGCCUCAGGUAUGUACUGGCGUCGCUGGUUUCUCCCUUCUGAAGAACCGUGAUGUCAUUAAUUUGGUGUUGCGGGGAAUCAGGACUGUUACUUUGAAAAAAUUAGAGUGUUUAAAGCGGGCACGCGCUUGAAUACAUUAGCAUGGAAUAACGAAAUAGGACGUUCGAUCUUAUUUUGUUGGUUUCUAGGAUUGACGUAAUGAUUAAUAGGGAUAGUUGGGGGCAUUAGUAUUCAAUUGUCAGAGGUGAAAUUCUUGGAUUUAUUGAAGACUAACUACUGCGAAAGCAUUUGCCAAGGAUGUUUUCAUUAAUCAAGAACGAAAGUUAGGGGAUCGAAGACGAUCAGAUACCGUCGUAGUCUUAACCAUAAACUAUGCCGACUAGGGAUCGGAUGAUGUUAAUUUUAUAAUGACUCAUUCGGCGCCUUACG
rnacentral:rRNA from 1 species